rnacentral:snRNA from 1 species
UUGGCAGAAUCAGCGGGG